GAUGAACGCUGGCGGCGUGCCUAAUACAUGCAAGUCGAGCGGACGGACGAGAAUCUUGCUUCCCUGAUGUUAGCGGCGGGCGGGUGAGUAACACGUGGAUAACCUACCUAUAAGACUGGGAUAACUUCGGGAAACCGGAUCUCACACCGGAUAAUAUGUUGAACCGCAUGGUUCAAAAGUGAAAGACGGUCUUGCUGUCACUUAUAGAUGGAUCCGCGCUGCAUUAGCUAGUUGGUAAGGUAACGGCUUACCAAGGCAACGAUGCGUAGCCGACCUGAGAGGGCGAUCAGCCACACUGGAACUGAGACACGGCCCAGACUCCUACGGGAGGCAGCAGUAGGGAAUCUUCGACAAUGGGCGAAAGCCUGACCGAGCCACGCCGCGUGCGUGAAGAAGGCCUUCGGAUCGUAAAACGCUUUUAUUAGGGAAGAACAUAUGUGUAAGUAAAUGUGCGCAGCUUGACGGUACCUGAUCAGAAAGCACCGGCUAACUACGUG
rnacentral:rRNA from 1 species